rnacentral:rRNA from 1 species
CCUACGGGUGGCAGCAGUGGGGGAUAUUCCACAAUGGGGGAAACCCUGAUGCAGCAACGCCGCGUGUGGGAAGAAGGUUUUCGGAUUGUAAACCUCUGUUCUUGGUGAAGCUAAUGACGGUAACCAAGGAGAAAGCUCCGGCUAACUACGUGCCAGCAGCCGCGGUAAUACGGAGGGAGCAAGCGUUGUCCGGAUUUACUGGGUGUAAAGGGUGUGUAGGCGGUUUUGCAAGUCCGACGUGAAGACCAUGGGCUCAACCUGUGGACUGCGUUUGAAACUGGGGGGCUUGAGUGAAGUAGAGGUAGGCGGAAUGCCCGGUGUAGCGGUGAAAUGCGUAGAGAUCGGGAGGAACACCAGUGGCGAAGGCGGCCUACUGGGCUUUAACUGACGCUGAGGCACGAAAGCAUGGGUAGCGAACAGGAUUAGAUACCCGUGUAGUC